UGAAUUCAUCUCCGGGGGUAGAGCACUGUUUCGGCUAGGGGGCCAUCCCGGCUUACCAACCCGAUGCAAACUGCGAAUACCGGAGAAUGUUAUCACGGGAGACACACGGCGGGUGCUAACGUCCGUCGUGAAGAGGGAAACAACCCAGACCGCCAGCUAAGGUCCCAAAGUCAUGGUUAAGUGGGAAACGAUGUGGGAAGGCCCAGACAGCCAGGAUGUUGGCUUAGAAGCAGCCAUCAUUUAAAGAAAGCGUAAUAGCUCACUGGUCGAGUCGGCCUGCGCGGAAGAUGUAACGGGGCUAAACCAUGCACCGAAGCUGCGGCAGCGACACUGUGUGUUGUUGGGUAGGGGAGCGUUCUGUA
rnacentral:rRNA from 1 species